rnacentral:rRNA from 1 species
AACCUUACCUGGUCUUGACAUCCACAGAACUUUCCAGAGAUAGAUUGGUGCCUUCGGGAACUGUGAGACAGGUGCUGCAUGGCUGUCGUCAGCUCGUGUUGUGAAAUGUUGGGUUAAGUCCCGCAACGAGCGCAACCCUUAUCCUUUGUUGCCAGCGGUUAGGCCGGGAACUCAAAGGAGACUGCCAGUGAUAAACUGGAGGAAGGUGGGGAUGACGUCAAGUCAUCAUGGCCCUUACGACCAGGGCUACACACGUGCUACAAUGGCGCAUACAAAGAGAAGCGACCUCGCGAGAGCAAGCGGACCUCAUAAAGUGCGUCGUAGUCCGGAUUGGAGUCUGCAACUCGACUCCAUGAAGUCGGAAUCGCUAGUAAUCGUAGAUCAGAAUGCUACGGUGAAUACGUUCCCGGGCCUUGUACACACCGCCCGUCACACCAUGGGAGUGGGUUGCAAAAGAAGUAGGUAG